rnacentral:rRNA from 1 species
GACGAACGCUGGCGGCGUGCUUAAAACAUGCAAGUCGAACGGACUUCUCAUGAAGCUUGCGAUUGAGAAGUUAGUGGCGGACGGGUGAGUAACGCGUGGGCAACCUGCCCCUGAGCCCGGGAUAACAGUUCGAAAGGACUGCUAAGACCGGAUAUACUUGCGGGGAAGCAUUUCUCUGUAAGGAAAGGGAACGCUCAGGGAUGGGCCCGCGUCCCAUUAGCUAGUUGGUGAGGUAACGGCCCACCAAGGCGACGAUGGGUAGCCGGCCUGAGAGGGUGAACGGCCACACUGGGACUGAGACACGGCCCAGACUCCUACGGGAGGCAGCAGUUGGGAAUCUUCGGCAAUGGGCGCAAGCCUGACCGAGCAACGCCGCGUGAGUGAUGAAGGUUUUCGGAUUGUAAAGCUCUGUCUUCCGGGACGAUAAUGACGGUACCGGAGGAGGAAGCCACGGCUAACUACGUGCCAGCAGCCGCGGUAAACCGAGAGACGUCGAGCGGCGUCGCGAGACG